ACUGAAACAACUGGAGAGUUGGGUCAGACUGUCUGGUCCAGAACUCAACUGGUUCGAAUCUCACAUAAAGAACAGGGAUUUCUUUUUUUCAAUACUUAACUUCUCAUCAGAGCGGUC